rnacentral:sRNA from 1 species
GAAUGGCACGGGCAGCCUUCCUCGCAACCUGGCAGCCACACUGCAGGACAUCGAGACCAAGCGCCAACUAGCUCUGCAGCAGAAGGGACAACAGGUGAUUGAAGAGCAGCGGCGGCGACUGGCUGAGCUGAAGCAGAAAGCGGCAGCUGAGGCACAGUGCCAGUGGGAUGCCCUUCAUGGGGCAGCACCCUUCCCAGCGGGCCCCUCGGGCUUCCCCCCUCUCAUGCACCACUCUAUCCUACACCACCUGCCUGCGGGGCGGGAGCGUGGGGAGGAGGGUGAGCACGCCUACGAUACGCUGAGUCUGGAGAGCUCUGACAGCAUGGAGACCAGCAUCUCCACCGGGGGCAACUCGGCCUGCUCCCCUGACAACAUGUCCAGCGCGAGUGGUCUGGACAUGGGGAAGAUCGAGGAGAUGGAGAAGAUGCUGAAAGAGGCUCAUGCAGAGAAGAACCGGCUCAUGGAGUCGAGGCCAGGGCUCUUGGAGAGGGUGGGCUUUGAAGAUGAUGCCUCCUCAUGCCAGACUACCCUGAGG